GGGGGCUUUUAACCUUGUGGUCGGGGGU
rnacentral:misc_RNA from 1 species